ACGGUGGGUGACUCUUAGCUAGG
rnacentral:piRNA from 1 species